GAUGAACGCUAGCGGCAGGCUUAACACAUGCAAGUCGAGGGGUAUAGGGAGCUUGCUUCCUAGAGACCGGCGCACGGGUGCGUAACGCGUAUGCAAUCUACCUUUGCAGAGGAUAGCCCAGAGAAUUUGGAUUAAUACCUCAUAGUAUAGCAGUUUCGCAUGAAACCACUAUUAAAGUCACAACGGCAAAGAUGAGCAUGCGUCCCAUUAGCUUGUUGGUAAGGUAACGGCUUACCAAGGCAACGAUGGGUAGGGGUCCUGAGAGGGAGAUCCCCCCACACUGGUACUGAGACACGGACCAGACUCCUACGGGAGGCAGCAGUGAGGAAUAUUGGACAAUGGGCGCAAGCCUGAUCCAGCCAUGCCGCGUGCAGGAUGACGGUCCUAUGGAUUGUAAACUGCUUUUGACAGGAAGAACACUACUUCGUGAAGUAGCUUGACGGUACUGUAAGAAUAAGGA
rnacentral:rRNA from 1 species